GGGUGUCCGAACCCCCCCCCACCAACGCCCCCCCACCCUCUUCAAGACACCCUCGACCACAGCCCCCCACGAAGCAGGUAAAACGCGAGCACAGGUGUAUUGAGACAGAUUUAAAGAGGUGCCAGAAAGUGAUGGUGAUGACAUCGAUCCAUGAGCUGUCUGAGCUGUCUGGAGCCUCGGAAUAAAUCGUCUGCUACGCCUCCAGAAUUUGCAGCUCCAAACUCAACUCCAAGACCCAAGUCCUCGCCAAUUCACGUGUGUGUGUCACAUGUUGUUCAACUAACAUUGUGAUACCAACAUUGAGCCAAAUAACAAUUGUCAGAUCUUGGCAGAUUUCGAAAGCUAAGCAGAUUUGAGCCUGGAUAAUGCUUAGAUGGGCGACCACAUGCACAAAAAGGCUGCCAUAAGUGGCUGCGUGGUUGUGCUACAUGGUGGUCAGCAAAGAGCAGUGUAGCAAACAACAUGAUUGUACUGUGCUGCUGUUAUCCCACGUUUAUGUUCGGCGCCUUUAGCACGCAGCACUGACCAGUGUGGUGAAGUAUGGUCAAGGCGUAGCCCUCAUGACCCGCACAGUGAAUUAAGCAAGGGGCCUCUCAUGCACAUGGGCUGUGCUGCACUGAAGUCCGUUAAUACAUAGUAAAUGUGAAACUAGUGGGCAGUUUGUCCUAUUGAAUCCCACUGCCAUAUGUUUAAAGGGCCACAGUUUUUUCAAAUUUAUCCGCAGGUCGUUCUGAAUCCGGCUGGACUUCCCAAACAUGGCAAUAGAGGGCGCUGACGAGCUAUUGUUGGUGAAUCCAUUGACACUGGCUUAAUUAUUAACAGACGUUGCAGUUUUUAUGUAUAAA